UGCGAGCUAUAGCUGAAGAGGGUCGCAGUAACCAGGCCGCUGCGACUGUUUAUCAAAAACACAGCACUCUGCAAACACGAAAGUGGACGUAUAGGGUGUGACGCCUGCCCGGUGCUGGAAGGUUAAUUGAUGGGGUCAGCCGCAAGGCGAAGCUCUUGAUCGAAGCCCCAGUAAACGGCGGCCGUAACUAUAACGGUCCUAAGGUAGCGAAAUUCCUUGUCGGGUAAGUUCCGACCUGCACGAAUGGCGUAACGACAGCGGCGCUGUCUCCACCCGAGACUCAGUGAAAUUGAAAUCGCUGUGAAGAUGCAGCGUUCCCGUGGCAAGACGGAAAGACCCCGUGAACCUUUACUAUAGCUUUACACUGAACGUUGAGUUCGUCUGUGUAGGAUAGGUGGGAGGCUAUGAAACUGUGGCGCUAGCUGCAGUGGAGCCAUCCUUGAAAUACCACCCUGUCGUGCUUGACGUUCUAACCUGGGCCCAUUAUCUGGGUCGGGGACCGUGUAUGGUGGGUAGUUUGACUGGGGCGGUCUCCUCCUAAAGAGUAACGGAGGAGCUCGAAGGUACGCUCAGCGCGGUCGGACAUCGCGCACUGUGUGCAAAGGCAUAAGCGUGCUUGACUGCAAGAUCGACGGAUCAAGCAGGUAGGAAACUAGGACUUAGUGAUCCGGUGGUUCUGUAUGGAAGGGCCAUCGCUCAACGGAUAAAAGGUACUCCGGGGAUAACAGGCUGAUACCGCCCAAGAGUUCAUAUCGACGGCGGUGUUUGGCACCUCGAUGUCGGCUCAUCACAUCCUGGGGCUGUAGUCGGUCCCAAGGGUAUGGCUGUUCGCCAUUUAAAGUGGUACGCGAGCUGGGUUCAGAACGUCGUGAGACAGUUCGGUCCCUAUCUGCCAUGGGCGUUGGAGAUUUGAGAGGGGCUGCUCCUAGUACGAGAGGACCGGAGUGGACGAACCUCUGGUGUUCCGGUUGUCACGCCAGUGGCAUUGCCGGGUAGCUAUGUUCGGAAGCGAUAACCGCUGAAAGCAUCUAAGCGGGAAGCGCGCCUCAAGAUGAGAUCUCCCGGGGCACAAGCCCCCUGAAGGAACCAUGUAGACUACGUGGUUGAUAGGUCAGGUGUGUAAGUACAGCAAUGUAUUGAGCUAACUGAUACUAAUGAUCCGAGAGGCUUGACCAU
rnacentral:rRNA from 1 species